rnacentral:rRNA from 1 species
UCCUCCUUCACGCAUCAUUAGGGAAUCUUCCACAAUGUGCGAAAGCCUUAUGUAUCAACUCCUCGUGUCUGAAUAAGUUCUUCGGAUCGUAAAACCCUGUUGUUAGAGAAGAAAGUGCGUGAGAGUAACUGUUCACAUUUCGACGGUAUCUAACCAGAAAGCCACGGCUAACUACGUGCCAGCAGCCGCGGUAAUACGUAGGUGGCAAGCGUUAUCCGGAUUUAUUGGGCGUAAAGGGAACGCAGGCGGCCUUUUAAGUCUGAUGUGAAAGCCUUCGGCUUAACCGGAGUAGUGCAUUGGAAACU